GUUGAAAAAUUAGCGGAUGACCUGUGGCUGGGGGUGAAAGGCCAAUCAAACCGGGAGAUAGCUGGUUCUCCCCGAAAGCUAUUUAGGUAGCGCCUCGUGAAUUCAUCUCCGGGGGUAGAGCACUGUUUCGGCUAGGGGGCCAUCCCGGCUUACCAACCCGAUGCAAACUGCGAAUACCGGAGAAUGUUAUCACGGGAGACACACGGCGGGUGCUAACGUCCGUCGUGAAGAGGGAAACAACCCAGACCGCCAGCUAAGGUCCCAAAGUCAUGGUUAAGUGGGAAACGAUGUGGGAAGGCCCAGACAGCCAGGAUGUUGGCUUAGAAGCAGCCAUCAUUUAAAGAAAGCGUAAUAGCUCACUGGUCGAGUCGGCCUGCGCGGAAGAUGUAACGGGGCUAAACCAUGCACCGAAGCUGCGGCAGCGACACUCAGGUGUUGUUGGGUAGGGGAGCGUUCUGUAAGCCUGCGAAGGUGGCCUGUGAGGGUUGCUGGAGGUAUCAGAAGUGCGAAUGCUGACAUAAGUAACGAUAAAGCGGGUGAAAAGCCCGCUCGCCGGAAGACCAAGGGUUCCUGUCCAACGUUAAUCGGGGCAGGGUGAGUCGACCCCUAAGGCGAGGCCGAAAGGCGUAGUCGAUGGGAAACGGGUUAAUAUUCCCGUACUUGGUGUUACUGCGAAGGGGGGACGGAGAAGGCUAUGUUGGCCGGGCGACGGUUGUCCCGGUUUAAGCGUGUAGGUGUGUGUUCCAGGUAAAUC
rnacentral:rRNA from 2 species